CAAUUUCCAAUUGUUUCAAUUAUUGAAGCGAAAAAUGCGUUGUGUUGAAAGGUUUCUUUUGCGAAUGCCGAAUACGAAUAUGAAAAACGAGAGUGGCGGUGUUGAACCGGAUGGUCAGUAAUUCGAAAAUUGCCCAUGUAAUAAGGUCGAUGAUUUGCCUGCCAAUGAGUGUUUCUGGGAUAACCAAAGAGAUUCACAAAUGUUGGUGAAUAAACCUAAGAAAGAAAGAAGAUUUAAUGUAUUAUGUACUCGUGUGUUUACUGGAGACAUUUAAAAUCAUUGAUGUAUUCAACUCCUGUACCUAAUAUCGAUGUUCUGAGGGAGCGUAUUUAAAAUGGCUUUGACCAAAUUCGAAACACUUCAGGAAUUUUCAACAGAGUAUGGCAAAGCAUGGAACGCAGGCUCAUGAAAGUAGGAGGAGGUCACUUCGACCAAUUUUUGUAAAUCUAUGUUGUUAAAUGCCUUACAUGUACAAUUAGCAAUAAAUCCUAUAAUUCCCUAACGAAGGAUUUUCAGACUCAUGUACAUAUGAACUUUUUGUAAUGUUUUGGUGUCAGGAAUACAUCCCUACGUUUAUGGACACCAAUUUAGAUACACCCUGUAUAAAUGAACUAUAUUUCCACAAUAAGAUGUAUAAACUUUAUGUGCCAAAGAUAUAAUCAAAUAGUGCAUUGUUUGAUCAACAUCAUUAUAGACGUUGUAUUAUUUUUAGCAGCACGAAGACGAAGAAUAUCGAAAACAAGGCCCAAUGCAUACCUAAUCUCGAAAAAACCAUUUUUUCUUGAUUGCUUUCAGAGCAAAAUUUCUGUCAGAAUCUUUAGACCGAGCCAAGUAAACUGUUCCAUAAGUUCUUGUCCAAUUUCUUGGAAUUCGUAAACCUCUUUAAUGUACUGUUUUGUUUCUGUUAAACAUUCAAGUCCGAAUUCAAAUUCUUCCGAUUCUUUUCUAUCAUCAUGAAAUAUUUUAAUUGCAAAGUUCGUUAAGAGAUAAGCAAAA